ACAGUUUAAGCAAAUGAGAUGUAACAUGUUCAUUUGUGAACUUGUGUGUGUGUGUAUGUGUGUGUUUUGCAGGACAGCUAAGAGUUAGAGUAAUGGAGAAUUUGUACAGUGUAGAGCUGAGGCAUCAGCAGGACCCCGGGGAACCUUUGGACAGUGAAGAUGAAGAAGGCAUGAUGGGAAAAAAGUCCAGCAGGGCCCACGAUUGGCUGUCUGUUCAGGCAGGGGAGGAGAACCUGUUUGUGAACGUGCGCCGCCAGCUGGGGAAUCGAGGAAGGGGUGAGGUCUACGCCCAGCUCUCUCACUCUUUCCACCUACUCAAGCUCACAGGUAACCAUUGUGUUAACAUCACUUUAUAUUUUAUUCAUUUUUAUUCCUCCCUGUCUCUCAGUCUCUUUGUCUUCUGGAUACAGGUGUACCUGCCAACAUCAGUGCCCAGGUGAAGUGGGCCCAGGGUAGCGGUCAGCUGUCACUACUGGCAGAGCUGCAGACUGGUCCUGAAUAUCUGAAGGCCGAAUUUAAUGGUGGCAAAACAGACCAUCUUAUCCCCCGAUGGGAAUUCUUCUCUGGGCUGCAGCAUCAAGUCAAAGCUUUGCUGAAAAGUGGCUUGUCAAGCUCCAUACAUGCCAAAGUGUUUUACCAGGUAAAGUACUUUCAUGACAACAUACUUUUCUGUCCCUGGCAACUUCCUAUUUUUUUGUGUAGGAUUCUCAUUUUCUUUUAUUGAGUCUAAUGUUUAUUUCACUUUCUAUUGUUUAAUGAUUUCCCCCCUGUUAGGUCGAAGCAGAAGGGUUAGAUACAGGUUUGAUCUUCUACAUGGAAGAUCAGAAAAUGGCUGACAUCGCUUUCAAUGUGGGAUCAAAAAACAGCACAGCUGUAUUGUUAGUGUCUCUAUGGCAACAGAUGAGACUUCUCCAGGGACUCAUACCCACCUCUUUACAGACUCUCCUGUCCCCGCAGACCUCAGUCAACAUUUCCAUCACCCGUUCUGGCUGCUCAACAAAUCUAAGUACCGUCCUCCACGUUCUCCGGGGUGAGGACGAACAGAAAGGAAGUCUUACUUUGUACCUAACUUGUCUCCCUGGUCUUAGUCUAAAGGCAUCUGUCCAGCACUCUAUAAAGGCAGUACAGACACUGGGAUUUCCCUCCCUCGGGACACUAAUUCUGAAUGUCUCAACUGCCCAUUUGCCUGGCGUGGAGGUUGGCCUGGAGCUGGGACGCUGUUAUUUCAGGGGGGAAUUGGGGAAGACCAAAGAAACAGAAGGGGAUGAGUCUACUUACGCUGUCAAUGUCACAAACUAUUGUCCUGCACUACAGGUAAGAAAACCACUAGGUUUUGUAAAAUACAGCUUAUGGAAACCUGAAUGA
rnacentral:lncRNA from 1 species